CAAAACUCAAAACAAAUCCAGAAUUGAUGCCAUUGUCAUGUUGAAAACGUUUUUGAUCAAGAAGUUCAUCAGGUUCAAACACUUUAAAAGAAUUAAACAUGUUUUCAAAAACAGAAUCUGAAACACGAAAUUCUUUAACCUUGUCAAAACCAAAACGUUUCACAUCUUGAGAACUGAUCUUAACACACAUUUCAGACAGAAAAUUAAUCAAAUCAAG
rnacentral:lncRNA from 1 species